rnacentral:rRNA from 1 species
AUUGAACGCUGGCGGCAGGCCUAACACAUGCAAGUCGAACGAGUGGCGGACGGGUGAGUAAUGUCUGGGAAACUGCCCGAUGUAGGGGGAUAACUACUGGAAACGGUAGCUAAUACCGCAUACCAUCGGAUGUGCCCAGAUGGGAUUAGCUAGUAGGUGGGGUAACGGCUCACAUAGGCGACGCUCCCUAGCUGGUCUGAGAGGAUGACCAGCCACAUGUGACCUGGGACACGGUCCAGACUCAGACGUGAGGCAGCAGUGGGAAAUAUUGCACAUUGGGCGAAAGCCUGAUGCAGCCAUGCCGCGUGUAUGAAAAAGGCCUUCGGGUUGUAAAGUACUUUCAGCGAGGAGGCGUUACUCGCAGAAGAAGCACCGGCUAACUCCGUGCCAGCAGCCGCGGUAAUUC